rnacentral:lncRNA from 1 species
GCGCCAUUUGUUGAAAUCUGGCAAGAUCGAACCCGAUCGGGUCUUGAAGCAUCGGAAGACGCUGCCUUCUUUCUCCAUAGCUGCGAAGAAGGAAGAAUUGUAAAAAUUGGAAUUUUAAUAGAGACAAAAAGUUUAAGUAUGUGUAAAUCACCAAACCUGAAAGCGAUUUGACUUGAGGGACAAGAGCAGGCUUCAACCUCGAGGAAGCAUCUCGAGAUUCAGAAUCUCCACUUUUAGGGGAUGCACUCCGAGCAGUCUUUUCGCUG